rnacentral:lncRNA from 1 species
GUGAUAUAUGAUUCUAACAACUAUGUGCAUGUGCAGUUACUAAAGUGCUUGCGAGUGUGAUGGAGCUGCAGCAGCGUUUUUCUGUGUCCGUGAAUGAUUAUGAAGAAAGUGAAGGAAAUGCAGAGAAGAGGAAGAUGCAGAAAAAUGAUGUUAGAACAGAAGAUCUUUAUCAAAGUCUUCAGAUCCCAGCUACUGCACACCAUGGAACUAUUAACAGUACAACACUGCUCUCAGAAAGAAAGUAUGUGUUUUUACUGUUUGCUGUGAACAUUCUUAUCUCAGCCAUCAUCCUUGUCAUUGUGGGUCUAAAUUACUCUCACAACAGAGAAACACAACCAAUAAAAGGAC